AUUUCUGUCUCCCUUUCAGUGACAGUCUCCUACUCAAACAAGGGAAGAAAUGAAAGAACUAAAGCUUUCCAGAACCACUGUCACUGACCAGCAGAAGAUGCCUAUGAGGAGCUUUGAAUUCCCUCCACUAGCAUCAUUUGACCUCAUUUUGGAAUUCUUAAUCUAGUAGCCAGGUUUCGUUCUCCUGCUCCAGCUCUGUCUGUAGUGACCUGGCUGUGGGAUUGGGCUUUAAUCCCUUCUUUUCCCCAUCAGUUAAAUUUACUUACUGGUGUGAGGCCAUGUGGAUCUAGUAAUUCACCUCUAAAUUUCAGUAUGUCUGGAUUUCUAUACAGUAGACUCAGACCUUCCUUUCUCUCUCUCUCUGCCUCUCUCGCUCUUUUUUAUUUUUUUUUUCCUCUCCAAGUCAGUGAGUUUUGCUGCCACCACCACCAGGCUUUUUUCUAGUAAAUCUUUUUCUCUUUCCCUCCUGAUUCCAAGAGAACCUGAGGCUGAACUCAGUAAAAUGUAAUUCAUCAGGCACCUGUAACUGCUGGAAUACUUGUUUGUGACACUGUCUGCUCAGUGAUUCUUCUAAAGAUUUGUAAAAAUUAAAACAAAAAAAAAGUAUUGUGUCUAAGCAUGCUCAGUGGCUAAAAAAGAGUGCCAACUGAGUGUGGGCAUAGAUGCUGAGAGGGUGCAAGGUUAAAAGUAUGCAGUUUUUGUCUGCUUCCAGAUGGUUUGUAGAGACUGGUAGCUGCUUCAUAUUACCAGCUCCCAGGGAAGUACUUCAGUUUCACUGUUUUACAAGCUACAUGGAUCGGAGUUCAAGCUAUGCUUCAUUCCUCCUUUCUGCCUCCCCACCUCCUGGAUUUGUAGUUGAAGACUGAGAGGAAAGAACCUGAAUAUUGGCGUCCCCACGGUUCUCAUAAACCGUUGACUCCUCUUUCUGCCUGUAAGAGCAAAUGAAAAAGUGAACAGGAGGAAAAAGCUAGCCAAGUCAGCAGGGAAGACUAUGGCAAAAAGAUCUUACUUGGAGGAUUUUCGCGUGGCCUUGGCAUGCAUGUUCCUCACAGCAGGUGGAUAGGCGAUGUUGCCAUACUCAGACUCACUGGGCUUCCCUUUCUGAGACUGCAGGAGAGAAAAGCCAAGCUGAGAAGAGAGGUCUGGGAGAAGCAAGAAAGAUACCAUAAAAGAGUUGCAGCUCUUACCAGUGCCUCACUCUAGUAUCUGGGUAGAGGUGGGUGGAUUGCUGAAGUCUUCAGGCUCUUGGUGCACUCUACCCACUGCUGUCGCAGAAGGGAGCAGUAAGACUGCUAAUGCCUCCUUGUAUGUAGGUGAACAGUGGGGGCAACUAAUUACUGGAGGCACUGGCAUGCCUGAUAGUCCUAUAUGUCAGCUGAAGAACAUUAAAUAGCAGCUGGUUGGUGCUGCCAGAGGCUAAAGGUAGAGCUAAAAGAUGUCACUUAUCAGCUAAUAGGAGAAAAGAGUUCCUAUACUUUCCACAAGGGUUUGGGCAGCAGCUACAGAACCAGGAUGGGAAAGACAAAGAGGAAAGGAGAGGGCCAAGUCUAUACCUGUCUUCAAUCCAGCUUGUAAGUGAACAGCACUUGGUGGAAGCGUUGCACAGAACAUGGUUGAAAUAAACAGCAAUAGGUUUUAA